UGCAGGUGAACCUGAGUCAGCCCAGCCUGAGGAGUGACCAGAGCAGCAAAGCCCUGCAGGACCAAUGCAAUGUCCUUAGCCAACGGGCUGAUCAGCAGGAACCAGCAGAAUUGUGUCGUCUCUCCUGUUUGACGCUGCGAUGCAUCCUGCCAACCUAACGUAUUGAUGAGCCACCAAACACAACCUGCGUCUGUGUAUUCCUUCUCAGUGUGAUUCACAGAUUGUACUGUUAUAAAUCUUUCAUUUCAUAAAUCUUUCAUUUCAUAAAAACACAUUCAUGUAGCACGUUUUCCAGAUGACACUGUCAGACAGCAGUUUUUCAGAGGUUCAGAGCUUUUUUUAGCUAUGUAAGCUGUUUAUUGUUCAUAUGGAAGUAUAUACCCUAUUGCUUUGUACUGUAUAAAUACAUUUUCCAUAAAUAUUAAUCAAAUGAAUCUAAUAGGCCCUCGUCCUUAUCUUUUUUGUACAAUUAGCAAUUGACAUUGUACUUUCAGUGCACUUCCUGGUUAUUGCUAUGCACUUUGCACUUUGUAGUACCUUGCUCUGGAUAAGAGCAUCUGCCAAAUUCCAAUAAUGGAAUGUAAUAUAAUUUUUCUAUUCUUUCACUGAUGGUGUUUUAAGUUUUCUUUAUGUAAAAUAACUGCUUGUAUUUAACCAUUUCAUUUGGUCAGUUUAUUUUCUAUUAGAUGGAAAUACGAACCCUUGACAAAAACUUUGUAAUAAAAAAUAUGUUUAUGAUUUCUA